GACGAACGCUGGCGGCGUGCCUAACACAUGCAAGUCGAGCGGAGAAACAAAAGAGCAGCUUGCUGCGAUUUGUUUCUUAGCGGCGGACGGGUGAGUAACGCGUGGGUAAUCUGCCUCAAACAGGGGGAUAACACAGGGAAACUUGUGCUAAUACCGCAUAAGACCCCACCAUGGCAUCAUGGAGAGGUCAAAGGAAGAAAUUCCGGUUUGAGAUGAGCCCGCGUCUGAUUAGCUAGUUGGUGAGGUAACGGCUCACCAAGGCGACGAUCAGUAGCCGAACUGAGAGGUUGAUCGGCCACAUUGGGACUGAGACACGGCCCAGACUCCUACGGGAGGCAGCAGUGGGGAAUAUUGCACAAUGGGGGAAACCCUGAUGCAGCGACGCCGCGUGAAGGAAGAAGGCCCUCGGGUUGUAAAAUUUCUUUGACCAGGGACGAAGAAAGUGACGGUACCUGGAGAACAAGCCACGGCUAACUACGUGCCAGCCCGCCGGAGUACACU
rnacentral:rRNA from 1 species